rfam:Salmo salar isolate Sally breed double haploid chromosome ssa08, whole genome shotgun sequence.
UGAAUGCACUAACUGUAAGUCGCUCUGGAAAAGAGCGUCUGCUAAAUGACUACAA